rnacentral:lncRNA from 1 species
AGAAGAGGAGAUGCUAGACUUGACAGCGGCGAAGAAGAAGAAAGCGAAGAAGAAGGACAAGAAGAAGAUUCUCGACGACGAUUAUCCGGAAGUUGCUGCACAAGAUUGGGAAGUACCUAGUACUGCUCAAGAUGAUUCUUCGAGAGCUGUCGCUGCUCCAGAGCCUGCUGCUGCUCCUACUGCCCCGGACAUUCCCUCGCUGGCGGACGAAGAAGAGGAGAUGCUAGACUUGACAGCGGCAAAGAAGAAAAAACCGAAGAAGAAGGACAAGAAGAAGAUUCUCGACGACGAUUAUCCGGAAGUUGCUGCACAAGAUUGGGAAGUACCUAGUGCUGCUCAAGAUGAUUCUUCGAGAGCUGUCGCUGCUCCAGAACCUACUGCUACUCCUGAUGACGAGGAAGAGAUGCUGGACUUGAAUAAGAAAAAGAAGAAGAAGAAGAAACAGGACGA